GUCACUUUGGCCGAGUGGUUAAGGCGCGGGCCUGCUAAGCUCGUCUCUUCGGAGGCGCAGGUUCGAAUCCUGCAGGUGACG